GACAGAGGGUGCAAACGUUGUUCGGAAUUACUGGGCAUAAAGCGCACGUAGGUGGUCCGCUAAGUCGCGUGUGAAAUCCCCCGGCUCAACCGGGGAAAUGCGCGUGAUACUGGCGGGCUUGAGAUCGGGAGGGGUGAAUGGAACUCCAGGUGGAGCGGUGAAAUGCGUAGAUAUCAGGAGGAACACCAAUUGCGAAGGCAGCUCGCUGGGACGUGACUGACGCUGAGACGCGAAAGCGUGGGGAGCAAACAGG
rnacentral:rRNA from 1 species